CGGAGCUGUUCCUAUUUGGCCAUCUUGGCUCCUCUCUAACUCUUUUUAAUUCUGUGAAGUGUGAGAGAGGUGGAGAAGCUGCAGAAAAAAGGUUUGAAGCUAGUAGAGAUUGGUUCUUGAAGCUUGCGGAAAGAAGCCAUCUCCAUAACGUAAAAGUUCAAGAUGAUGCAGCAAGUACAAUGUAAAAGCUACAGCAUUCUCCAAAAGAUCUAGCUGAGGUCAUUAGUGAAGGUGGCUACACUGAAUGACAGAUUUUCAAUGUAGAUGAAACAGCCUUCUAUUGGAAGAAGAUGCCGUCUAGGACUUUCAUAGCUAGAAAGGAGAAGUCAAUGCCUGGCUUCAAAGAACAGGCUGACUCUUGUUAGUGGCUAAUGUAGCUGGUAACUUUAAGUUGAAGCCAAUGCUCAUUUACUAUUCUGAAAAUCCUAGGAUCCUUAAGAAUUAUGCAAUAUUUACUCUGCUCAUGCUCUGUAAAUGGAAGAACGAAGCCCAGAUGACCACACAUUUGUUUACAGCAUGAUUUACUGAAUAUUUUAAGCUUGUUGUUGAGACCUACUCUCAGAAAAAAGAUUUUUUGUUUUCAAAAGAUUACUGCUCAUUGACAAAUUCACCUGGUCACUCAAGAACUCUGAUGGAGAUGUACAGUAGGAUUUCCAGCUCCUAGAAGACAGAAAUCAUGUUGUUCAUCUUUUGCAUCCUUCCCAGAAUCUAGUGGAGCACUGAGCAUCAUGGAAGGCUGGAAAUACUUCUUAAAGAAUUAUACAUCUAUCAAGUUUCCCCUUUUCUCCUCAGUCUGUUUUCAGAUAUCUGCGAGUUAAUUUCUGGGGUGGUAAGAGCCAAAAGCAGAGAAUAAAAUAACAACUGAGAUAAAAAUAAGAGAAAGGAAAAGGGCAUGCUAAAUCCUUUCCCCCACCCCCACCAUAGGGAAACUGCCAUGCCUUUUUCAAGUGCAUAAAUGCUUUUUUCAGGCUAAUGUCUACCUGCCACUCAUCAGGCUAGGCGAAGGGAGUUUUAUGAAAAACAGACUAGAUGUCAUAAACUAUCAUAAUACACAGUCUGCCUUAAACAAUGGGUGAACUCAACAAAUGUUUCGCUUUAAGUAAAUUUCAAGUUUCUCUUCAGAUUUUCACUUAAAUUGCCUCUUAAACCUACACACCAUAAUAUAAAUUCUGUAACACAUAUAUUGAAACAUAGCUUAUACUGCUAACAUUUAAUAGAGGUUCUGUCAUUGUAGAACUUCUUUUAUUAUCAAAUUUAGCCAUAAAUAUUUCUGGUGGAGUCAUAUUUUCAACAUUUAGAAGUUACAGUAUUUUCCUAUGGAAGGUAGCAUCUUGACAGUUCUCUAAAACAGUAUGUAUAUUAUUACUUCUAAAACACUUAGUGUGUCUAUCAUUCAGCACUACUAUAUAUUACCAUCUAUUUUUCUAUGUUUUCUUCAUUUGUACAUGCUUUCUCCUCUCAACCAAAUACUCAGUUUCCACUGCUUUCUAAUUUUUAUGCAUUCUCCCCUCUCACUAAAACAUUAUUGGGCACCCUGUCAUCCAACAAACCUUUCUUGAGCAUCUACCGUAUGCCAGGAAUUGUUUUGAGGGCUCAGGAUACAGGAUAAGAAAGACACAUACUCUGCUCUUGGAUAACUCAUAGUGGAGAGGCAGGCAAUGAAGAAUAAAUUAAACAAAAAAGAAUGAGAUGAUUUCUUAUAGUAAUUGGUGCAAUAACAAAGAAAUAAAAGAAGAUUAUAUGAAGCACAGUGUCCAGGAUGUAAGAGCCUUCUUUACCUUUUAUUUAUUUAUGUUUAUUUUUAUUUUUUGAG
rnacentral:lncRNA from 10 species